rnacentral:lncRNA from 1 species
GCCCCCCUUGGAUGUUAAUCGUCGUGCGUAAACAUGGGAAAGUGGUUUUACUAUUUAUAGUAUUAUAGUAAAUAAUAUAGGUCACUUGUCAGGUCGUAAAUAUCCUAAAAAUCGGGGUUAACAUUAACCUGGUAAUGGUUCACAAGUGGUAUAGGCUCUGGUAAUAAUGGUAUAUCUAUAAAAAUGGUCAAGGUAAUGUGAUCUAAGCUGUCCAGAAUCGUCUGCUACAACCGUUUAUAUAGUCCGGAAGUCUGCGGACACAGAAAGUGUGUCCGUUACUAUAACGAUAAGUGUGUCCGUAAAAUUAACGUAGCGAUUGGUUGUAAUUCUAAAUAUACAUGAUACCGGGUUCUGGAAACUAGGUUAUCUCUGUCCAUUCCGAUUGGUCCUUAAAACCGGAAGUUCCCACGGCAAUAAUAUAGAACAUGGCGCAAAAACAAAUAGAAAUACACAACUGUCGAGGAAAAAGGGAGAUAUGGGCUUAUCAAGAAUAACCCUUAGUGGGAACGUACCCUGGUUACAAUAUAGACCCUUAACGUGAUUGAAUAAAACAGGUGAGCAAAAGGGACAAGCGAUAUACAGGUCAAACUAAAGCUGGGAUCAUGUCAAAGUACCCCCCUGGUCAAACAGUGAGAACGAACCCUGUCCUAUCAAUAUUUCCCAUAAACAAUAAUAUAAUACAUACAAUACAAUACAAUACGGCCGCGAUACCUGAAAUAAAAGUGUUCAUAUGAAUAGUCCUUCCGUUCAUAAUAUAACAGUGCAGCUCAGAGUAACGGAACACGAAAAUGAAAGUGAAAGUAGAAAUGAACUCUCUGAGCAACACAAGAAAAGAAUGAAACAUGAUACAUAUAAACCUAUCAAUCUUAACUCCUACCCUUAGGCAUAACAAUA